AUUGAACGCUAGCGGGAUGCCUUACACAUGCAAGUCGAACGAGUGGCGCACGGGUGAGUAAUGUAUAGCUAAUCUGCCCUACACUAGAGGACAACAGUUGGAAACGACUGCUAAUACUCUAUAGUGUAGGAUGAGGCUAUAUUGUAUCAGCUAGUUGGUGAGGUAAUGGCUCACCAAGGCUAUGACGCAUAACUGGUCUGAGAGGAUGAUCAGUCACACUGGAAGUGAGACACAGUCGGGACUCCUACGGGAUGCAGCAGUAGCGAAUAGUGCUCAAUGGGGGAAACCCUGAAGCAGCAACGGGGCGUAGAGGAUGACACUUUUCGGGGCGUAAACUCCUUUUGUUAGGGAAGCGGUACCUAACGAAUAAGCACCGGCUAACUCCGUGCCAGCAGCCGCGGUAAUAC
rnacentral:rRNA from 1 species